rnacentral:lncRNA from 1 species
CAAGUGUAUCAAAAAGUACAUAAACUCUGAACAUAUUUUAACCUCAUUAACCAGAUCUAAGUUGUCAAUGCAACAAGUUCAGCAAACGUGUUAAAUAUACUUCAUAUAAGAUUCGGGAUAUUUAACACUCAAAUUAAGACAGGCCCUAAUUGAUAUGUAUGAUACAAAUACUUUGAGUAUUCAACUAAAACAUUUUGAAAAUUAUGACCAAUUUAGAAUCGA